AGUGAACGCUGGCGGUAGGCCUAACACAUGCAAGUCGAACGGCAGCACAGUAAGAGCUUGCUCUUACGGGUGGCGAGUGGCGGACGGGUGAGGAAUACAUCGGAAUCUACUUUUUCGUGGGGGAUAACGUAGGGAAACUUACGCUAAUACCGCAUACGACCUACGGGUGAAAGCAGGGGAUCUUCGGACCUUGCGCGAUUGAAUGCGCCGAUGUCGGAUUAGCUAGUUGGCGGGGUAAAUGCCCACCAAGGCGACGAUGCGUAGCCGGUCUGAGAGGAUGGUCGGCCACAUUGGAACUGAGACACGGUCCAGACUCCUACGGGAGGCAGCAGUGGGGAAUAUUGGACAAUGGGCGCAAGCCUUAUCCAGUCAUACCGCGUGGGUGAAGAAGGCCUUCGGGGUGUAAAGCCCUUUUGUGGGGAAAGAAAAGCAGCAGGUUAAUACCCCGCUGUUCUGACGGUACCCAAAGAAUAAGCACCGGCUAACUUCGUG
rnacentral:rRNA from 1 species